GCCGAACCGUGCGAGCGUUGUUCGGAUUCAUUGGGCGUAAAGGGUGCGUAGGCGGCGCGGUAAGUCGGGUGUGAAAUCUUGGAGCUUAACUCCGAAACUGCAUUCGAUACUGCCGUGCUUGAGGACUGGAGAGGAGACUGGAAUUUACGGUGUAGCGGUGAAAUGCGUAGAUAUCGUAAGGAAGACCAGUGGCGAAGGCGGGUCUCUGGACAGUUCCUGACGCUGAGGCACGAAGGCCAGGGGAGCAAACGGG
rnacentral:rRNA from 1 species